AUCACCUAGGGAUCUUGUUAAAACUCAAAUUUUAAUUCAGUAUGUCUGGAGUGGGGUCUAAGAUUCUGAAUUUCUAAUAAUUUCCCCAGUGAUGCUAA
rnacentral:pre_miRNA from 1 species